GCAGCCUAGAAUGCUAGGAGGAACUGCCUCUGGAUUUCCGAGAAGCAGGAAGUUCGGCCCCUUCCAAUAGGACACUUCAAAAAUCUUAUCUGGAUUUGGCAAGAAGAUGAUUGAACUGAGAAAUUAGUAAUGCCUUUAUAAUAUGAGAUCUACCUAUUGGAGUUGAAACUCGUUCUAAUAAGUGCCUUUAACUUUACUCAAAUUUGUUUUCGUUAAUUUAGUUUAGGUAUACGAUGUAGAUUAACAUGAAACUCAAUUCCUAAAAGUGUAAAUAUUCCCCACUGUAGAUUCAAUUCAGGGUAGACAACUUCAACACUAUCUUUUUGCUUCUAAUCCAAAUAGCCUGGGUUUUAGAUACAUUUAUUUUAAAUCCAGAUAUAUUUGCAAAAGAUUUUAAUUCGUCAAUAGAUUCUUUAAGAGAUUCCUCUGUUCCAUCCAAGAUCAGUGAAGUGUCAUCCGCAUAUUGAGGCAGUAAAAUAGGAAAUUAUCAACAUAAAUACUUUUUAUAUCAUUAUUGUUACUUAUUCUAACGGCUAAAAUUUUAGCACACAUUAUUUAGGCAUUGAACGGCUUUCAGUUGGCAUUCAUAUUGACUAUGAAUGCCAACUGAAAGCCGUUCAAUUCUUAUAUUUACCAUCUGCGAUAUUUUUAUUUGUCAUGCGAUUUUUGUUUUGAAAUUUUCAAAUUCAAAUUUCCCGCGCUUACCAGUAGCAGAGAUCACUUCCUGUUGGCAGUUCAUAGGCUGGUGAACUCGCAACUGAAUUGGUAGAGUUAUAUAGUGGCAGUGCCAUACAAUGGUAAAUAUAAGCAUAUAUAAUCAAUUGGCUCCCCUGCCUACAUCAGAAAAAUGGAGACAAAUUUCUCCCUUGAUUAAUAGCUGAGCUUGAUUUGUUUUGUAGAACUUUCGCCUUUUUCUUAAUAUCUUUCCCAAAUUAAAAAAAAAUCGAAAACUUUUUCAAUGAACUCCCUAGAGUCAAAAGCCUUUUGAAAGUCAAUAAUUAACAACAUUCCAGGUAUAUUUUUAUUUUCUGCAUAUUGCAUGAUAUCGUAAAAAAAUUCGAGUGUUUUCCACAAUAUAGCCUCCUGAAAUGAAACCGUUUGAUCAGUAUGAAUUUAAUUGAUCAAAACUAA